GCCAGAUCUCAGGCCCUCAUGUGUGCGCAGCCGACUAACUUACUACUAUGCAGUUGCGAGGGAGAAUGGAACUCAACCAGAUCUCUCACCUCCCAGUUUUGAACAUUCCUUCUGUGAAUUGACAUGCACUUGGCAUAUUUGUGUAUUUGUGCUACUCAUUCACCUCAGAAAGCCAAGCUGACUUCACUGAAAGUACUCGACCAGCUGCCAACUUUCUCCAGAUAUCAAAAGAGGAUAUCAAAUCCCUUGGAAAUGGAAUUACAGAUGCUUGUAAGCUGGGAAUUCAACCUUGGGUCCUCUGCAUGAGGUAGCAUUACACCUCCUUUGAAGUUAGAUGAAGAAAUGGGAUUUACAUGGCUGGUUGAAUGUGAGCAGAUGUGGUACCUUUCACAUACAGGUGGAAGUUCCAAGAGCCACUGUUUGGUUUACAUCAUUCUCUGUCCUAUGAUGACCAUCAAGCAUAUAUUGGCCUAACAUCUUUGCCGGGCUGGGUUUCUGAUUGGUUCAAAUACACAAACAACUCUAAUACCCUGUGAUGGGCAAGAUUGGCAGGAAAUAAACUUUUGUUGUACAAAA